rnacentral:rRNA from 1 species
CCUACGGGUGGCAGCAGUGAGGAAUAUUGGUCAAUGGGCGCGAGCCUGAACCAGCCAAGUAGCGUGAAGGAUGACUGCCCUACGGGUUGUAAACUUCUUUUAUAAAGGAAUAAAGUGAGGCACGUGUGCCUUUUUGUAUGUACUUUAUGAAUAAGGAUCGGCUAAAUCCGGGCCAGCAACCGCGGUAAUACGGAGGAUCCGAGCGGUAUCCGGGUUUAUUGGGUGUAAAGGGGGCGUAGGUGGGUUUUUAAGGCAGUUGUGAAAGUUUGCGGCUCAACCGUAAAAUUGCAAUUGAUACUGGCAGCCUUGAGUACAGUUGAGGUAGGCGGAAUUCGUGGUGUAGCGGUGAAAUGCUUAGAUAUCACGAAGAACUCCGAUUGCGAAGGCAGCCUACUAAACUGCCACUGACAUUGAUGCUCGAAAGUGUGGGUAUCAAACAGGAUUAGAUACCCUUGUAGUC